GGUCAAGUUAUUAAGGGUGCAGGGCGGAUGCCUUGGCACUAGGAGCCGAUGAAGGACGUGAUAAGCUGCGAUAAGCUUCGGGGAGUUGCACGUAAACUUUGAUCCGAAGAUUUCCGAAUGAGGAAACUCACUUAGAGUAAUGUCUAAGUAUCAUUAAGUGAAUACAUAGCUUAAUGAGGGGAACUCAGGGAACUGAAACAUCUAAGUACCUGAAGGAAGAGAAAGAAAUUCGAUUCCGUAAGUAGCGGCGAGCGAACGCGGAUUAGCCCAAACCAAUAAAGUUUUCUUUAUUGGGGUUGCGGACAUAUCAUAACGAAGAGGUAUCGUAAUUGAAGAGGUUUGGAAAGACCCACCACAGAAGGUAAUAGUCCUGUAUGUUAAACGAGAAGACUUCAGAUAUGAUCCAGAGUACCACGGGACACGUGAAACCCUGUGGGAAGCAGGAGGGACCACCCUCCAAGGCUAAAUACUACCUAGUGACCGAUAGCGUAUAGUACCGUGAGGGAAAGGUGAAAAGAACCCCGGGAGGGGAGUGAAAUAGAACCUGAAACCCUGCACUUACAAGCUGUGGAAGCACAUUUCUUGUGUGACCGCGUACUUUUUGUAGAACGGGCCAACGAGUUACGUUAAGUAGCAAGGUUAAGCACUUAAGGUGCGGAGCCGUAGCGAAAGCGAGUUUUAACUGAGCGUUCAGUUACUUGACGUAGACCCGAAACCGGGCGACCUACCCAUGAGCAGGAUGAAGCGAAAGUAAAAUUUCGUGGAGGUCCGAACCCACGAGCGUUGAAAAGCUCGGGGAUGACUUGUGGGUAGCGGUGAAAUUCCAAUCGAGCCCGGAGAUAGCUGGUUCUCCCCGAAAUAGCUUUAGGGCUAGCCUCAAGGUGAGAGAUACGGAGGUAGAGCACUGAAUGUCCUAGGGGGUAUUGCACCUACCGAAGACUAUCAAACUCCGAAUGCCGUCAUCUUAUACUUGGGAGUCAGACUGUGGGUGAUAAGAUUCAUAGUCGAAAGGGCAACAGCCCAGAUCGUCAGCUAAGGUCCCUAAAUGUAAGUUAAGUGGUAAAGGAUGUGGGAUUGCACAGACAACCAGGAUGUUGGCUUAGAAGCAGCCACUCAUUCAAAGAGUGCGUAAUAGCUCACUGGUCGAGUGAUCCUGCGCCGAAGAUUUCCGGGGCUAAAACUUACUACCGAAGCUACGGCAUCAUUAUGAUGGGUAGGGGAGCUUCCCAUACGGGUUGAAGCAUGACCGUAAGGACAUGUGGACAGUAUGGGAGUGAGAAUGUUGGCAUGAGUAGCGAGAUGUGGGUGAGAAUCCCACAGGCCGUAAACCCAAGGUUUCCAGGGGAAGGUUCGUCCGCCCUGGGUUAGUCGGGACCUAAGCUGAGGCCGAAAGGCGUAGGUGAUGGACAACAGGUUGAUAUUCCUGUACUACCGAUAACCGUUUGAGAGAAGGGAUGACACAGUAGGAUAAGCUAAGCACACUGUUGGUUAUGUGUGCCCAAGCAUUGAGGCAGUCAAAGCAGGCAAAUCCGCUUUGAUAAUGCUGGGAUGUGAUGGGGAGCGAAAUUUAGUAGCGAAGUAGCUGAUUUCACACUGUCAAGAAAAGUCUCUAUCGAGGUUAAAGGUACCCGUACCGCAAACCGACACAGGUGGGUGAGGAGAGUAUCCUAAGGCCAGCGAGAGAACUGUUGUUAAGGAACUCGGCAAAAUGACCCCGUAACUUAGGGAUAAGGGGUGCCACCAUCCGGUGGCCGCAGAGAAUAGGCCCAAGCGACUGUUUACCAAAAACAUAGGUUUCUGCUAAGUCGCAAGACGAUGUAUAGGAGCUGACGCCUGCCCGGUGCUGGAAGGUUAAGGGGAUCUGUUAGAGCAAUCGAAGCAGUGAACUUAAGCCCCAGUAAACGGCGGCCGUAACUAUAACGGUCCUAAGGUAGCGAAAUUCCUUGUCGGGUAAGUUCCGACCCGCACGAAAGGCGUAACGAUUUGGGCACUGUCUCAACAACAGACUCGGUGAAAUUGUAAUUCCGGUGAAGAUGCCGGAUACCUGCGACAGGACGGAAAGACCCCAUGGAGCUUUACUGUAGCUUGACAUUGGGUCUUGGUACUACAUGUACAGGAUAGGUGGGAGGCUUUGAAACCAGGACGCCAGUUUUGGCGGAGCCAUCCUUGGGAUACCACCCUUGUAGUACUGGGACUCUAACCAUAGGCCAUGAAUCUGGUCUUGGGACACUGUCAGGUGGGCAGUUUGACUGGGGCGGUCGCCUCCCAAAAGGUAACGGAGGCGCUCAAAGGUUCUCUCAGUACGGUCGGAAAUCGUACGUAGAGUGUAAAGGCAAAAGAGAGCUUGAUUGCAAGACAUACAGGUCGAGCAAGGAUGAAAAUCGGACUUAGUGAUCCGGUGGUUCUGCGUGGAAGGGCCAUCGCUCAACGGAUAAAAGCUACCCUGGGGAUAACAGGCUUAUCUCCCCCAAGAGUCCACAUCGACGGGGAGGUUUGGCACCUCGAUGUCGGCUCAUCACAUCCUGGGGCUGUAGUAGGUCCCAAGGGUUGGGCUGUUCGCCCAUUAAAGUGGUACGCGAGCUGGGUUCAGAACGUCGUGAGACAGUUCGGUCCCUAUCCGUCGCAGGCGUAGGAAAUUUGAGAAGACCUGUCCUUAGUACGAGAGGACCGGGAUGGACGUACCUCUGGUGUACCAGUUGUUCUGCCAAGGGCAUGGCUGGGUAGCUAUGUACGGAAUGGAUAAGCGCUGAAAGCAUCUAAGCGCGAAGCCAACUUCAAGAUAAGAUUUCCCACCGCAAGGGUAAGACCCCAGAAAGACUAUCUGGUUGAUAGGUCGAAGGUGUAAGUGCAGCAAUGUAUUUAGCUUAUCGAUACUAAUAGGUCGAGGACUUGACCAA
rnacentral:rRNA from 1 species